UAUAUGUUAGCUUACAUAGAAAAGGGGAAUUGAAGUUGCAGAUGGGAUUAAGGUUGCUGAAUCAGCUGACCUUAACAUAGAGAGGGUAUCUUGGGUUAUCCACGUGGGCCCAAUGUAAUGAGAAUAGUCCAUUUAAGUGGAAGCAGGAGGCAGAAGAGAGUCAUGGGAAAUGUGAUUAUGGGAGGUCAGCAUGAUCCAGUGGGAGAAGGACUUGACCUGUCAUCGCCAGCUUAGAAGGCAGAGAAAGGAAGCCACAAGCCAAGGAAUGUGGGAGACCUCGAGAAAGUGGAAAAGAGAUCAGGAGCUGUGGGCAGGGCCGGGGGAUGAGUGGAGCAUGGCCCGGGCAGCUGUGGGAGUAGAGACCUAGACCUUGGCCUCUGAUGUCAACGGCCAACUUCCACAUGAGAGACAGGAGCAGAAUCCAGAGAUCCUUGGUGCUGGGAGCAGGGAAGCCCAAGCCAUGGGGUUGUGCGUGUGGAUUGCUUGGAAAGGGCCCGGCAGAGAUGCAUCAUCGGUCGGCUGCCGGCUGUGCCAGGUCCUUCCCACUAUGCACGUGGGCUUCUGGUGGCAAGAGGAAAUGAGGCCAGCACAUCUGCAGCUCUCGAGAGAAGUCAUGACCUGCUGUUCCAGAAGGUUCCUCCCUGUAACUCCUGCCUCCCCAAGCUGUUAGAUCUGGUCCAGCGCCCUGGUCUCUACUCUGGCUUUCCUCCAUCCACAUGGGCGCACAUUUAGGAAAGUGAAACACUCUUCACCACGGCAGCAGACGGCAGCAAUUCUCAAGCAUUUGGUCUCACAAGCUCAGCGCACUCUUCAGACUUAUUGAGCUUUUGUUUCCAUAGGUUAAAUAUAUUGAUAACUACUAUUUUAGAAACUAAAGUUGAAAAUUUGCUUAAAAUAUUUAUUAGUUUAUUUAAAAUAGUGAUGAACCAGUUGUAUAUUAACAUAAGUAACACUUUUAUGAAAAAUGUAUUUUCCAAAAUUAGAAACAAGGUGACAAGAGUGGGCUUGUGUAUUUUAGCAGAUCUCUUCAAUGUCUGGCUUAAGAGAACACAGUGGGGUUCUGCUCAGACCCCCUUCUACAUCCAGGUCCCUUUGAGCUUACAUUUAUUGUUACUUCUGGGAGUUCAUGGAGGAAGAAUCCCUAAGGGCCAAUAAACAUACAAAAACUGAUCCCCACAGUUAUCAGAGAAAUAUCAAUUUAAUCUAUAAUUCGGUACCAUCUUAUCUCUGUCUGAUUGGCAAGAGUGAAAAGCUCUGAUAACCCAAGAAUGUGGAGAAAAGAUAAUUUUUACACUCUACUGUUGGGGCUUUCAAUACAUAAAAUAGCUAGUAAAUUGGAAUAUCCUCACCACCUAAUUGCAGGAGACUGCUCUUGGCUAUGCAUCUGAAACUAGCCAUCGCACAUGUGCACAAGGAGAAAUGUUUACUAGCACUCACUGUAACGUUCAUAAGAGAAAAAAUUAGAAACCUAAACCCUUUUUUUUUUAGAAACCUAAACCUUUAUUGAUAAAAGGAUGGAUACGUGUAUUACAAUAUACUUAUAUAGGUAUUAUGUCAAAAAUACUAUAAUAAUAUUGUAUGUAAUAUUCUAACGCUGGUACAUUAUGUACCAGUUAAUAGGAUGAACAAAAGCUCUACAACAACCCGAUUAACAACAUUUAUGGUAAAUUAGUUAAAGCUGCAUGUUAACAUGGCUAUAACUUUAAAAUGAUGUUGAAAGAAAAAAACAAUCUAUACAACUUAUGUUCUGUGUUAAAAAUACACAAACAUGUAUUAAAUAUUUCUUAGAAUAUUAAUAGAUAUAGGAAUGAUGCAGUUCUGUUUAUGGUAGCAGUUAAUUCUUAGGAGAGAAAGAGGGGAGAGGGAUUUUUCUGAUUAAGACAAAAGAAAGACAUUGCCUCAA